rnacentral:lncRNA from 1 species
AACAAUCAGUAAGAAUAACACUGGGAUGCCCGGGUGCGUUGGCUCACACCUGUAAUCCCAGCACUUUGGAAGGCCAAGGAUGGCGGAUCACUUGAGACCAGGAGGUUGAGACCAGCCUGGCCAAAAUGGUGAAACCCCAUCUAAUUUUUGUCACCCCAUUUAAUCUUUGUAAACAUACAAAAAUUAGCCAGGUGUGGUGGCACACACCUGUAGUCCCAGCUA